UUUUAUUUUUUCUGCUUGCUGCAACAACAUCGUUUGCAUUCCAUUUACUGGCUAUUGUGUUGGCGUAUUCCUUCUUACCUUACUGGAUGGAUAAUCCUGCUUUAGAUGUGACAAACACCGAAAACAUUUUUUUGUUUCAUUUGGAACCGUAGUUUUGAAAUAAUUAUGAACACUGUUUCACGAUGUUUCAUACUUUUCCCUUCUUGCCAAAUAAGUUGUUUUACAUAACAUGCAGUUAGUUGUUAGUGGCUUCAGAACUGACCUACAAGAUAACUUUACUGUGGACCUGUUCAGUUAUAAUAAAAAAA
rnacentral:lncRNA from 7 species